rnacentral:rRNA from 2 species
UGGGCGAGAGACCGAUAGCAAACAAGUACCGCGAGGGAAAGAUGAAAAGGACUUUGAAAAGAGAGUCAAAGAGUGCUUGAAAUUGUCGGGAGGGAAGCGAAUGGGGGCCGGCGAUGCGCCUCGGUCGGAUGUGGAACGGUUAGAGCUGGUCCGCCAAUCGGCUCGGGGUGUGGAUCGGUGCGGAUUGGGACGGAGGCCAAAGCCCAGGAAGUCGUUAAGCCUGCGGAGACGCCUUCGCCCCGAUCGUGGCUGGCAGCGUGCGCCCCUCGGGCGUGCUUCGGCAUCUGCGCGCUCCCGG